rnacentral:rRNA from 1 species
AACGCUAGCUACAGGCUUAACACAUGCAAGUCGAGGGGUACCAUGGUCAAAGCUUGCUUUGACUGAUGACGACCGGCGGAUGGGUGAGUAACACGUAUCCAACCUACCGUAUACACGGGGAUAGCCUUUCGAAAGAAAGAUUAAUACCCGAUGGUGUAAAGAGAUCCCCUGAUUUUUUUACUAAAGAUUUAUCGGUAUACGAUGGGGGUGCGUUCCAUUAGAUCGUUGGUAGGGUAACGGCCUACCAAGUCAACGAUGGAUAGGGGUUCUGAGAGGAAGAUCCCCCACAUUGGAACUGAGACACGGUCCAAACUCCUACGGGAGGCAGCAGUGAGGAAUAUUGGUCAAUGGACGCAAGUCUGAACCAGCCAAGUAGCGUGCAGGAUGACGGCCCUAUGGGUUGUAAACUGCUUUUAUGCGGGGAUAAAGUGUGCCAUGUAUGGCAUUUUGUAGGUACCGCAUGAAUAAGGACCGGCUAAUUCCGUGCCAGCAGCCGCGGUAAUACGGAAGGUCCGGGCGUUAUCCGGAUUUAUUGGGUUUAAAGGGAGCGUAGGCCGUCGNUUAAGCGUGUUGUGAAAUGCCGCGGCUCAACCGUGGCACUGCAGCGCGAACUGGAUGACUUGAGUUCGCGGGAGGUAGGCGGAAUUCGUGGUGUAUCGGUGAAAUGCUUAAUAUCACGAAAACUCCGAUUG